rnacentral:rRNA from 1 species
GCGUAAAGUGUUCCUACCUUAGGAUAGGACUGUGUAUGAGUCUCGCUACUAGGUUAACUUUCAUCUCUCCUAUGGACUGUUCAUAUAGUAUCUGUCGACCUCCUUUUUACUAGUGUACUAUGUGAGUUGGUUCGGAGGAGGGUAAAAACUACUUUUGAGUUGUGACUGCAUGUUACACGACGUUUCCUUUGAGCAGAUAAACCGAAGAAACUUGUUAAAUGUGACGGUAGUCCUCUUUAUUGUUCCCCAUGGACGGGUGUUCGGAAUAUCCUGUAUUUACACUAAUUUUUUAAUGUCAUCUCAAUGUGACGUUAAAUCGAACCUUUUUGUAACAUGUAUCUGAUGUUCUUGUUUUCAAGUCCAAUUUUGUGUCCAAUUUGCGACUCACAUUAAUGUAACGUUUAACGUGACUUAAAUAUCACAUUAAUGUGACGUUAAAUCUGACGUUUUACAAUCAUGUAUCUGACAUUGAUGUUUUUUAUCCAAUUAAUGUGACUUUUAAUGUCACAUAAAUGUAACAUUUAAUCUGACCUUUCAUAGUCACGUAUCUGACAUUCAUGUUUUUAAGUCGAAUUAAUGUGUAUUAUUUGUCUAAUUAAUGUGACUUUCAUGUCACAUUAAUGUGACGUUUCAAUCUGGCCUUUUAAGGUCAUGUAUCUGACAUUCAUGUUUUUAAUGUCAAAUCGAUGUGAUUCCUAAUGUGACAUUAGUUGGUGAUUUUAUGUGAUUUCUUAAUGUGACAUUUAGGUUAAUUUUAAUGUCACAUUUUAGUGAUAAAGGACUUUUAAGACUUAAUCUCAGGUACUUACAUGUACGUGUCUAACUUCCCUAAAAGGACUUUUAUAUAUGGUUUUACUGAGCCACACUCUAAUUGACUUACUUUAACGUGCCUACUCGUAUGUGUAAAUGUUUUGAUGAGGCGAAAUUCAUUAUUGUGAUUUUUUAUGACCUUUUAUCGUUAUGUUUAGUAACGUUCAAUGUGACGUUUUUAGUGAUUUUCCUUGUGGCUCUUUGACCUUUUAAAGUCUCUUUUUGUGACGUUCAACGUGUGAUGACUUUAAUGUUACUUUUAUUUACUUUAAUGUCACGUUUAUAUGUGAAAUAAACAAGUCACAUCACCAACCCUAAUGAUCAUCAUCGUACCGUCACCCAAUACCAUCACGAUCUUUGUUAUGUCUUACUCACCUCGUCUUGCAUCCACUAUCUGAUUUCCGUUAGUAGUGGGUUAGGUGAUUCUUAAUGUCACAUUUUGCGGAUUCUUAAUGUGACAUUUUGGGGAUCCUUUAUGUGACAUUUAGGUAACCCCUAAUGUGACAUGUUAGGUGAUCUUUAAUGUCACAUUUUGGGGAUUCUUUUAUGUGACGUUUAGAUGAUCCUUAAUGUCACAUUUAGGUCACUCUUGAUGUAACAUUUAGAUAUCGCUUUUAUGUGACAUUUAGGUGAUUUUUAAUGUGACAUUAUUGUUUACCCCUUAUGUGAUACUUAGUUAAGUCUUAAUGUCACGUUUUGUUGGUGACUGUUGUUGAAGUUGAGUGAGUAAGUAUAUCAGGACAUAGGUGUACUUCCACCUACACACAGUUGAUAUAACGGUUUUGAUGUUGAUGCGUUGGUUCACCUACAGUAGGAUCCCCUUUGGAUGUACGUGUUGGAUCCUUAUCUAGUGAUAGCGUAUUAUCAUGUUGAUUUGUUCAAUUGUGUGGCGUCAAUGUCUAGUUUAGUUUGAUUGUCACUUUGGGGGAGUUCCUCGUGGGGUGGGGGGGUCAGUGGAGCGGGGCGGUACCUGACCCUGCUCGCCGGAAUCUUUGACCUUGAUGGAGGUGGAUGGUGUCCCGUGAGGCGGAGGAUUUAGGCGGUACCGUUUGCUUUUAGUUUGGGCCGCCUUGGAGUGUGUAGAUGUGCUUACUUACGCCCCCUUUAUGUGUGUUGUUGUUCUAGACUGAUUCUUUGGGGAUUUUGAUGGUAAGUCUAGAUGCCUUGUUCUCUUUUAGCUCUCUUUUACGGCUUAGUCUGCUUGUUUUUGCUGCCCUCCCCCUUUUAACACCGGCCCCAACCACCCCCCCGUCUGUUAGCUGCCCUCCAGCUCGCCCCGCGCCUCCGUCGUCCCCUCGCCCUGUCUCGUGUCUGCUCAGUGGUUGUUGGUUGACGCAGCUAGCGGCUCUCCCUCUAGGUUUAGCGGUACCGAUAGAGAGGGUUGGAGACAAGGCCCCCUACGCACACACUUUACCGUUUCUCCUUUGUUGCUCCUAACCCUUCUCUGUCUCCUUCGC